GUGAGGCAACGGCUCACCAAGGCGACGACGGGUAGCUGGUCUGAGAGGAUGAUCAGCCACAUUGGGACUGAGAUACGGCCCAGACUCCUACGGGAGGCAGCAGUGGGGAAUAUUGCGCAAUGGCCGCAAGGCUGACGCAGCGACGCCGUGUGUGGGAUGAAGGCCUUCGGGUUGUAAACCACUGUCAGGGGGGACGAAUACCCGGCCUCGAAUAGGGGACCGGGGGUGACGGUACCCCCAGAGGAAGCACCGGCUAACUCCGUGCCAGCAGCCGCGGUAAUACGGAGGGUGCGAGCGUUGUCCGGAAUCACUGGGCGUAAAGCGCGCGUAGGCGGCCGUUUAAGUCACUUGUGAAAUCCCGGGGCUCAACUCCGGGCCUGCAGGUGAUCCUGAAUGGCUCGAGCUCGGUAGAGGCGAGUGGAAUUCCCGGUGUAGCGGUGGAAUGCGUAGAUAUCGGGAAGAACACCAGUGGCGAAGGCGGCUCGCUGGGCCGUAGCUGACGCUGAGGCGCGAAAGCGUGGGGAGCAAACAGGAUUAGAUACCCAGGUAGUCCACGCCGUAAACGAUGGGUACUAGGCGUCGGGGGGAGCGACCCCCUCGGUGCCGCAGCUAACGCAUUAAGUA
rnacentral:rRNA from 1 species